AGAGUUUGAUUCAUGGCUCAGGAUGAACGCUAGCGGGAGGCCUAACACAUGCAAGCCGAGCGGUAUUGUUUCUUCGGAAAUGAGAGAGCGGCGUACGGGUGCGGAACACGUGUGCAACCUGCCUUUAUCUGGGGGAUAGCCUUUCGAAAGGAAGAUUAAUACCCCAUAACAUAUUGAGUGGCAUCACUUAAUAUUGAAAACUCCGGUGGAUAGAGAUGGGCACGCGCAAGAUUAGAUAGUUGGUGAGGUAACGGCUCACCAAGUCAAUGAUCUUUAGGGGGCCUGAGAGGGUGAUCCCCCACACUGGUACUGAGACACGGACCAGACUCCUACGGGAGGCAGCAGUGAGGAAUAUUGGACAAUGGGUGAGAGCCUGAUCCAGCCAUCCCGCGUGAAGGACGACGGCCCUAUGGGUUGUAAACUUCUUUUGUAUAGGGAUAAACCUUUCCACGUGUGGAAAGCUGAAGGUACUAUACGAAUAGCAUCGGC
rnacentral:rRNA from 1 species